GAUCAACUAACAGAUUUGGGCCAAAAUGUGAUUAUAAACUGUGAUCUGGACUCAAAUGAUGUUUAUUGGAUUUUACUGAAACAAUCAGAUUCUCAUACAGUGAUACUGCGCUCAUUCUCAAACCCAACAUCAGCUUUUCCUUUAAAUAAAACAUUUAAAAACAAAUAUUCAGUGCAAUCUAAACAUCGUCUGGUGAUAUAUAAUAUUACUGUAGAUGAGUUAGGAGUUUAUUACUGCAUGAACACAGAUACACCUCCAAAACUCAGUACCAGCACAAGACUGAACAUCAUCGGUUAGUGUUUAUAAAUAAUUCCCAAGUUAUUUAAACACUUUAAAUCAUUUACCAAUUGUUUUGAAAAAAAUGAAAGUGUUGACAAUCAGUCGUUAUUAAAAAAAUGAUUUCCUUUCAGAGCCGACUGAACUCACAAAGUUAUCUGUGUAUCUGAAUGAAACUUUAGUGAAGUGUAUACACAAUGAGACACAACGGCACUUUAUCAUCAUUAUAUCUGCUCUUCUGAUCAUUAUCAUCACUGUAGUUAGUUGUUACUCUAAAGAAAGAUUAAAGCUUCAGGAUACUAAACAUGUGUAUAUAAAACAACAUGAAGAGAUGAGCCGAGUUCAGUACACUGCAGUGAGAUUUUCAACAUGUGAGGAGUCUGAAGACACUUGAGUCGACUGAACUUCUGCUCUUCUAUCGGUUUCAUUUCUUAUAAUGUUUAAUAAAGUAUCUAUGUUAUCAG